GCGCCAGUGGUCUAGUGGUUAGGAUUCAACUCUUCCAAGGUUGAGGGAGGGGUUCGAUUCCCUUCUGGCGCA
rnacentral:tRNA from 1 species